rnacentral:snRNA from 1 species
CCUCUAUUAGUAUUUAAGUUUCU